UGGGGAAUUUUGCACAAUGGGGGAAACCCUGAUGCAGCGACGCCGCGUGAUUUAGAAGGCCUUCGGGUUGUAAAAAUCUUUUGUAUGGGAAGAAAAUGACAGUACCAUACGAAUAAGGACCGGCUAAUUACGUGCCAGCAGCCGCGGUAAUACGUAAGGUCCGAGCGUUGUCCGGAAUCAUUGGGCGUAAAGGGUACGUAGGCGGAUAAGCAAGUUAGAAGUGAAAUCCUAUAGCUCAACUAUAGUAAGCUUUUAAAACAGCUCAUCUAGAGGUAUGGAAGGGAAAGUGGAAUUCCUAGUGUAGCGGUGAAAUGCGCAGAUAUUAGGAGGAAGACCGGUGGCGAAGGCGACUUUCUGGCCAUAUACUGACGCUGAGGUACGAAAGCGUGGGUAGCAAACAGG
rnacentral:rRNA from 1 species